GAGUUUGAUCCUGGCUCAGGAUGAACGCCGGCGGUGUGCCUAAUACAUGCAAGUCGAGCGCACUGGCCCAACUGAUAUGACGUGCUUGCACUGAUUUGACGAUGGAUCACCAGUGAGCGGCGGACGGGUGAGUAACACGUGGGCAACCUGCCCUGGAGUGGGGGAUAACAUUUGGAAACAGAUGCUAAUACCGCAUAACAAUCAAAACCACAUGGUUUUGAUUUCAAAGAUGGUUUCGGCUAUCACUCCAGGAUGGGCCCGCGGUGCAUUAGCUAGUUGGUAAGGUAACGGCUUACCAAGGCGAUGAUGCAUAGCCGAGUUGAGAGACUGAUCGGCCACAAUGGAACUGAGACACGGUCCAUACUCUACGGGAGGCAGCAGUAGGGAAUCUUCCACAAUGGGCGCAAGCCUGAUGGAGCAACACCGCGUGAGUGAAGAAGGGUUUCGGCUCGUAAAGCUCUGUUGUUGGAGAAGAACGUGCGUGAGAGUAACUGUUCACGCAGUGACGGUAUCCAACCAGAAAGUCACGGCUAACUACGUGCCAGCAGCCGCGGUAAUACGUAGGUGGCAAGCGUUAUCCGGAUUUAUUGGGCGUAAAGCGAGCGCAGGCGGUUGCUUAGGUCUGAUGUGAAAGCCUUCGGCUUAACCGAAGAAGGGCAUCGGAAACCGGGCGACUUGAGUGCAGAAGAGGACAGUGGAACUCCAUGUGUAGCGGUGAAAUGCGUAGA
rnacentral:rRNA from 1 species